rnacentral:rRNA from 1 species
CCUAGUUGAUCCUACCAGAAGUCAUAUUCUUGUCUCAAAUAUUAAGCCAUGCAUGUCUAAGUAUGAACUAAUUGACACUGUGAAACUGCGGAUGGCUCAUUAAAUCAGUUAUAGUUUUUUUUAUGGUACCAUAUUACUCAGAUAACCAUAGUAAUUCUAGAGCUAGUAUGUGCACCAAGUCCUGACUCUUUGAAAGGGAUGCAUUUUUUAGAUAAAAGGUCGGUGUAGGCUUGCCCACUUCUCUGGUGAAUCAUGACAACUCGACGGAUCGCAUAUCCCUUGUGUUGGCAAUGCCUCAUUCAAAUUUCAGCCCUAUCAACUUUUGAUGGUAGGAUAGAGGCCUACCAUGGUGGUGAUGGGUGACAGAGAAUUAGGGUUGGAUUCCAGAGAGGGAGCCUGAGAAAUGGCUACCACAUCCAAGGAAGGCUAUAGGAGCACAAAUUACCCAAUCCUAACAUGGGGGGGUAGUGACAAUAAAUAACAAUACUAGGCUCAUCGAGUCUAGUAAUUGGAAUGAGUACAAUAUAAACCCCUUAAUGAGGAUCCAUUUGAGGGAAAGUCUGGUGCCAACAGCCGUGGUAAUCCCAACUCCAAUAUAAUAUAUUGAACUUGUCACAAUUAAAAACCUCGCAGUUUGAUCUUAGGUCAUAAACGUUGGUCCACCUACUCGGUGUGCACCUACCCUUUCGUCCCUUUUGUGGGUGGCAUGCACCUUGCCUUAAUUGGCUAGGUCAUGGUUGUGACACCAUUACUUUGAAAAAUUAGAGUGCUCAAAGCAAGCUUAUGCUCUGAAUACAUUAGCAUGGAAUAACAUGAUAGGAGUUUGGUCCUAUUGUGUUGGCCUUCAGGACUGGAGUAAUGAUUAAUAGGGACUGUUGGUGGCAUUUGAAUUUCAUUGUCAGAGGUGAAAUUCUUGGAUUUAUGAAAGACAGACCAAUGCUAAAGAAUUUUCCAAGGAUGUAUUCAUUAAUCAAGAAUGAAAGUUGGGGGAUCGAAGAUGAUCAGAUACUGUACUAGUCUCAACCAUAAACGAUGUCGACUAGGGAUCAAUGGAUGUUGAUCUAAGGACUCUUCUAGUACCUUCUAAGAAAUCAAAGUUUUUGGGUUCCAUGGGGAGUAUGGUCACAAGGAUGAAACUUAAAGGAAUUGAUGGAUGGGCACCACCAGGCGUGGAGCCUAUGGCUUAAUUUGACUCAACACGGGGAAACUUACCAGGUCUAGACAUAGUAAGGAUGGAAAGAUUGAGAGCUCUUUCUUGAUUCUAUGAGUGGUGGUGCAUAGCCAUUCUUAGUUGGUGGAGCAAUUUUUCUGGUUAAUUUCGAUAAUGAAUGAGACCUCAACCUGCUAACUAGCUACAUGGAGGUUCCCCUUCUCGGCCAGCAUCUUAGAGGGACUAUGGCCAUUUAGACCAUGGAAGUUUGAGGCAAUAAUAGGUCUGUGAUGCCCUUAGAUGAUCUAGGCCACAUGUGCUAUACAUUGAUGCAGCGAAUGAGCUUUUCUUCCAAGUUCGAGAGGAUCAGGAAAUCUUCUCAAAUUUCAUCAUCAUGGGGACAGACCAUUGCAAUUAUUGAUCUUCAAUGAGGAAUUCCUAGUAAGUGUGUGUCAUUAACUCGUGUUUACUACAUCCCUGCCCUGUGUAUUGUUGGCAUUAUGGCACAGGUUUGGAGCUAUGACACAGGUGUUGUCCUUGAUGGCAACUCUCCUUGGUAACAGAUCUCAGUUCAGGCACUCAGAAAGAAGAAAAGGACAUAUACGCAGGUUCAUCGAGACGAAGAUGCGUA